rnacentral:rRNA from 1 species
GACGAACGCUGGCGGCGUGCUUAACACAUGCAAGUCGAACGGAAAGGCCCUGCUUUUGUGGGGUGCUCGAGUGGCGAACGGGUGAGUAACACGUGAGUAACCUGCCCUUGACUUUGGGAUAACUUCAGGAAACUGGGGCUAAUACCGGAUAGGAGCUCCUGCUGCAUGGUGGGGGUUGGAAAGUUUCGGCGGUUGGGGAUGGACUCGCGGCUUAUCAGCUUGUUGGUGGGGUAGUGGCUUACCAAGGCUUUUACGGGUAGCCGGCCUGAGAGGGUGACCGGCCACAUUGGGACUGAGAUACGGCCCAGACUCCUACGGGAGGCAGCAGUGGGGAAUAUUGCACAAUGGGCGGAAGCCUGAUGCAGCAACGCCGCGUGCGGGAUGACGGCCUUCGGGUUGUAAACCGCUUUCGCCUGUGACGAAGCGUGAGUGACGGUAAUGGGUAAAGAAGCACCGGCUAACUACGUG